GAGCUCAAUGCCAGAGCAUCUCCUUUGCAUGCAGAAGGUAUCGGGUUCAAUUCCCGGCAUCUCCA